rnacentral:SRP_RNA from 1 species
CGCCAGGAAUCAUGCGAUCGGCCGCCGCCCAACCCCGCCAGGUUCGGAAGGAAGCAACGGUAAGCGGAAGGCCGCUGCGCCGUGAUCGCCCUGGCGGGG